UGGUCUGUCACCUUCUACCUCCAACAAGUU
rnacentral:piRNA from 1 species